rnacentral:tRNA from 1 species
GCCAGCGUAGCUCAGUUGGCAGAGCAGCUGAUUUGUAAUCAGCAGGUCGUGGGUUCGAACCCCUCCGCUGGCUC